rnacentral:rRNA from 1 species
GAUGAACGCUGGCGGCGUGCCUAAUACAUGCAAGUCGAGCGAACAGACGAGGAGCUUGCUCCUCUGACGUUAGCGGCGGACGGGUGAGUAACACGUGGAUAACCUACCUAUAAGACUGGGAUAACUUCGGGAAACCGGAGCUAAUACCGGAUAAUAUAUUGAACCGCAUGGUUCAAUAGUGAAAGACGGUUUUGCUGUCACUUAUAGAUGGAUCCGCGCCGCAUUAGCUAGUUGGUAAGGUAACGGCUUACCUAGGCGACGAUGCGUAGCCGACCUGAGAGGGUGAUCGGCCACACUGGAACUGAGACACGGUCCAGACUCCUACGGGAGGCAGCAGUAGGGAAUCUUACGCAAUGGGCGAAAGCCUGACGGAGCAACGCCGCGUGAGUGAUGAAGGUCUUCGGAUCGUAAAACUCUGUUAUUAGGGAAGAACAAAUGUGUAAGUAACUAUGCACGUCUUGACGGUACCUAAUCAGAAAGCCACGGCUAACUACGUG